AUACUUUUAUGAAUAAAAUAUAUUUUUGAAAUAGAAGAAUGUUCUCCCAGGACAAGGCUAUCCCGUUGCACUUUGGGUGUGCUGAGCCUCCAAUGUCUCCAAAUGUGGGAUACUCAACUGCAAAAUUUGUGGUAGUGGGGGAUUGUGUUUGUGUUCUCCCUUG